GACGAACGCUGGCGGCGUGCUUAACACAUGCAAGUCGAACGGAAAGACCCUGCGUUUGUGCGGUGCUCGAGUGCCGAACGCGGGAGUAACACGUGAGUAACCUGCCCUUCUCUUUGGGAUAACUUCACGAAACUGGGGCUACUAUAGGAUAGGAGCUCCUGCUGCGUGGUGGGCGUUGGAUAGUUUCGGCGGUUGUGGUUAGACUCGCGGCUUACCGGCUUGUUGGUGGGGUAGUGGCAUACCCAGGGUUUGACGGAUAGGCGGCCUGGGAGGGUGGCCGGCCACAUUGGGACUACGGUACGGACCAGACGGCUACGGGAGGCAACGGUGGGGAACAUUACACAGUGGGCGGGAGCCUGAUACGGAAGCCCUGCGUGCGGGAUGACCGCUUUCGGGGUGUAAACCGCUUUCGCCUGAGACGAAGCGGGAGUGACGGUAAUGGGUAAAGAAGCACCGGCUAACUACGUG
rnacentral:rRNA from 1 species